rnacentral:lncRNA from 1 species
AAUUUGAAUAAAAUUUUUGUAGUGGUGGCAUUUUUAAGUUGCUCAACUAAUUCAGUAAUCGCAGUUUUGACUUUUGGAAGAUCGAGCUCACCAUGAUGUUUAUUGUAUCUGUAUUAUCGGUUUUUGUCGAAGCGACUUUGACAAAGGGAAAAAAGGGCACGCCGUGAGGCAAGUCGUAGGUUUUGGCUAAGCCAAGUCCGGGAUCGUAUCGAGUAAUGUAUUACAAAUCCUCGUACAACAUAAAAAAACGAAAUCGUCUUUAACGUUAAAUUCGCUGAAAAGAAAGGAAAAUUGUCAGCGGGAAACUAUAGGUCAAGCAUGAAAACAUCUGAUUCAAACAAAAGAAGUUGAUGUCGAUGAUGAAGACACGGUCAUUGAUUCUUCUGAUAAUCUUAUUCGGACCAGAACAAAGUGGGUCUAACGUCUCCGUCAAUUCGGAGAAAAACAUGGGAACAUGUGUAGAAAUUCUUCAGAAUGAAAGGAAAAAACAUCCAAGAAGAACUCGCCUGGAAUGCAUUGAGAUCUUCUUUGAAAAAUAGGUGCGAAGACCAAGAAGAACAGUUGGUAACAAGUGUAGCCAAGAUUCAGAAGCACCACACAUUAAGGCGGCUUUAAAAGUUCUGUGCCAACGCUCAAUAAGCCUAUUUGACUGAUGAUGGUAUGGUGCAGUGUGUAUACGUUGACUUGACUCAAACUGGGUCGGUAGUAGUCGUGAGAGUGGUACCAAACUGUUGACCUCUGGAAGUUCUAUGAUGUCCAGAUGGAUGUGAUCAAAGCAACAGUCUGGGACGUCGAUGUGUCGCGAGUCAAAUGCGGUUGUGUCGUUGGACUUUGGAACGCUGGCACUCGAUGCAUUCCCUGGACCAUUGGAGGUCAGGCCAAACGAACUUCAAUUGACGAGCUGUAGUGUGGCCACUGGGAUGACAAGGUUCGUGAAAGACGUUGAAAGUUUGUUUGCGAAGAGGUUCAGGUAAGUACAGUCGAAUCCUGCUAGUUGAGUUGUCACAGUAAAUGAUAUGACCUUGAUUAAGAAGCUGAAGUUUCAGAGUAUAGUCAUCAUUUUAUAGAUCCUGAAGCACUUGAUCAAGUUGUUUGGCGUCUUCAAUCGUUUGAAAAUCUAGCGCUGUGGGCAUGUUGAUGGCGUUAACUCUCGACAGGGCAUCCGCAACAAAAUUCUCUUCGCCCUUUACAUAAACAAUCUCAGUGGUGAAUUCAGAGAUGAAGCUGAGCUGAUUGAGCUGUCGAGGGACGUUUUUUCUACUUUCUGAGCAAAAGUGUGCACUAAGGGCGAUGAUCAGUCUUGAUCACGAAUGAGCGACCUUCCAGAAUGUAGCGGAAGAAUUUGAUGAGUUUUCUAGAGUAAAAACCAAUAGGCCUUCAUAUACCAUUUUCAAAUUGCUCUAAUGAAGCAUCAAUGACAUGGUCGAAAGCGUCUGUAUAUAGAGCGAUAAAUGCUGAAGGUGACAAAAACACAGUGACAACGGGUGAUGAUAUCCUGGACUUGCACUGUUCUAGCGCAGCUUUAAGCUCAGGCGUCCAAUUAAUUUUGGUCUUGUCGUGCUUCUUGACAUUCUUUAACAGCCCAUUGAGAGGUGCCUGAAUGGUAGAGGCGCUUGGGAUGCAGUGACGGUAAUAAUUAAGUUAAGUUAAUUAAGAAAACGUCGGAGAUCAGAAAUAGUCUCAGGGGUUGGAAAUUUCAGGAUGGCUUCCACCUUCUCCGAUGGAGUUGUGAAUCUAUGUUUGUCAAGAUGAUAGCCCAGGUUAUUCUCUUGCAUCAUAUCUUGAGAAUAUCCUCCAAAUGCUUGACAUGCUCUUCGGGGGAUUUGGAAAAAAGUCCUCAAUGAAACAAGAGGCAAAGUCUACGUUGCGAAGAAUGUUAUCCAUGUGACGUUGAAAGGUUUGGAUAGCAUUUCUGAGACCAUCAUGCAAAACUCAGACCGAAUGGAAUUUGAUAGUAGGCUAGGUUAAGAAUGUUGAGCACGGUGUAGUAAGUCAUGGAUUAAUGGAAUUGGGUAACUGUCUGGCACUGUAUGCUUAUUUAGGCGGCGAUAAUCACACAUUGAGCGCCAACCACUAUGUCUUUUGGACACCAUAUUGAUUGGACUUGCCCAUUCACUGCUCGAGAAUCUAAUACUGCCAUGCUGAAGCAAAAGAUUGGAAUCAGCUUUAGCUGCUAAGUAAAUCUCACCUAGGACGUUUCGUCACAAGUCAUUCAGAAGUGAGGAUGUGGUGACGAAAUUUAACUUGUGAAUGAUUGGAAUUGGCUUUGGCAGAGUGAUAUCGUCAAAUUUUUGUAGGAGCUGCCUGUACGGUGGUUUUAUGGUGUCGGUAGAAGAACCAUGAGAGGAAGCUGUGGUAGAGAUACUGUGCAUUAAUGCUUCUGCAAUGUUACCAUUCACAGUGUGUCUGGUGGUUCUGUCGAUGACACACUGGCCUUGUACAUCGAUAAGUAGUCCAAAAUAGGCCAAAAAGCUUGCAUUGAUGAUUGAUAUCAGCAAGGAUGAAUAACCAUUUGAAAUCUUGGAGAAGGCCAAAUUGUAGAAAGCGAUGGUGUCUACCUUUGUGAUGAAUACAAGAAUGUGGGAUAAUGGAAAGUAUGGGUCCAGACACAGGAAUACCAAACUGCUGCGCUUAUCGCUGACGAAAAGGCGGUAUCUUUUAAUGAUUCAUUGCUGUUGUUGUCGCUUACCGCCGUUGCUGACGACAGCAUUGCUAGUUUCCCUCCAGCGAAGGCGAUUGAUCUGAAGUAGGCUUGAAUGUACAGGGCUUAUUGCAACGUCGCACGCGAUUACAAAAAUUAUGGUGAUAGUAGCAGUGUCCUACCGGUGAAAUAUGCAGCUUUCUGGUGCUGGAUUGUGAGCGAGCGCUUUUCUAAUCUCCUUGAGUUCAGCCAUAACAGAGGCAGAAGGAUAGCUGGAGUGAGUGGUAACAUUCAUCACGAAAUGCAAUAAUUCAGCAAGUUCAUCGGAUGAUGACGUGGCUUGGAAAACAAAUAGCAAUUUUUGGACGAUCGAAGGAAGUAAUGCUAACCAGUGGACUCAUAGAGCGUUCUCAGGGGCUUGGGAGCUUAUCAUGUACCGCAUAAGCCUGAGCAACUCUGAAGGUUUUCUACCGCCAAGCUCGAGUUCAGCCAGAACUUUGUGUAGUUGGUUAUCUGCCGAAUCAGUUAGGAGAUUAACAAGCUCAGUUUUGAGGGUAUUGUACUUAUAUGUAAUGGGUGGUGAUUUGAUAAUUUCGGUGACAGCUAACAAUGCCUCUGGAGUCAGGUUGCUGACGAUUAGGAACCACGUCUCCGGGUGGUCCUUCCAGAAGGACGGGAGUUUGCAAUUUUGAAUGGAGGAUAUUUCGCCGGAUCCUUAGGCUCGGAGUCACCAAUAUAGGGUCCUAAUAUAACGCGCCAUGUAAAUGUUUAUUAAUAUAUACAGCCCCAAGCGUACAGGCAAUAAUAUUAAUUUAUAACAAGGAAAGAAGAUACAAAAGAUUCAUAAAAGUUGAAUGUUGGUCUGAUACAUGUGAAGAUGAUAAAUGAUAAAAGAAAUAACUAUGCCACGUCCUGGCUAAUCGUCUGCGUCAGGGUGAAUAAACUUAGUGACAGGUUCUAAUUCGCGCUUGACUUCGUCCAGUGGUUACAAAUUUGGCGAGCACUUCCUAUAGACUUUCGUGGUAGUGGACACCGACUCGACGCGCGGAAUUAGUGUCCGUUUGCGCUAGCGGCGCUUGUGUGCAACCUCGUUGUUGACUUUAUCCGUACGUUUAUGAGAGCGGGAAGUCGAGACCGCCACAAGCCCGCCACUACGCGCCAUCUCCUGCUUCUUUGUAGAAUAUCUGACUCACUCUAUUUAGAUUGUACAUUUAUACUAGUCUCUUUUGUCUACCAAUAGGUGUAUAUACAAUAACUACAGGUUUAUAGGAUUAUGUUGGGAUGAUUAAACCGAAUUAUAUACCAAAUGGAGCCGUUUGACCACGAAAGGACGAUUUUCUUUGAUUCCUUAAAUGAGCUCGUACAAUUUUACUAAGGCUAGGCACACACUUGUGAUUACCGUCGUGCGAUUAAAACAUCGUAGUCGCAAGUGUGCGUUUAGAAAAAUAGACAUGUUGUAAUUUGUUAAUCUUUGAGGCACUUUGAGUUUUUUUAACAUUAAAUUCAAUACAUUAGUGUAGUGCAUUAAUAACUUACUACCUAAUACGUAAGUUAAUUCAAAAUUAAUUCAAUUAUCCAUUUCUUUUAUCCUUAUUUAAAAAUGUGUAUUCUAUUUGCGUAUAGUCUAAUGAAAGUACUAAUUUUUGAUGUAUUUUACAUAUGAGAAGGCUGAAGACCAGUCCUACCGAUAGAUACAAUCUGUAAAACUUUGAACGGUUAAGUACGUACGUCAGUGAGUUUUUCCAUAGCUUAAUUUUGGCUUGUUAUUUAAAAACUAUACCCGCAGCAGUUUCGGAUUAAAACAAAGAUCCUUAUAUCGACAACAAUUCUUAAAAGGUACAGCUUUUUUGAAACAACUGGAAGAUGCGGCCUGCAAUUUGAACAAAAUUUGGUAGGCACAUAGAUAUUCACAUGGAGAUACUAUUUUUUUAAAGGUAAUGAAUUUUAUAAAUAUACAGCAACAGCAGAACAAAAAUUAAACAAAUUUGAGGAUAACUUGUUUUUAAUGUAAUUUAUUAUUUCAAUUAUUUUUUCUUAAAAGUGCUCUUCUUCGAUUUUACUACAAUACAGUUUGUCUAUUAAGAAAAAUGUGUAACUGA